ACGUAGGGUGCAAGCGUUGUCCGGAAUUAUUGGGCGUAAAGAGCUCGUAGGCGGUCUGUCACGUCGGCUGUGAAAACCCGAGGCUCAACCUCGGGCCUGCAGUCGAUACGGGCAAACUAGAGUACUGCAGGGGAGACUGGAAUUCCUGGUGUAGCGGUGAAAUGCGCAGAUAUCAGGAGGAACCCCGGUGGCGAAGGCGGGUCUCUGGGCAGUAACUGACGCUGAGGAGCGAAAGCGUGGGGAGCAAACAGG
rnacentral:rRNA from 1 species